UCUUGGGCCAUUUGUGUAGCCUCUUAUUUGAAUAGUUAAGAGGACCCAUCACUAUGUUUUAUAAAACCAUUGGCUUUCUUUUCUGAAACUGCCCAUUCGGGGUGAAGCACCAGGGGCUGUGUUUGUCUGAGUGCUUUGUUAUGAGGAAACCAGGAGCAAACGGAUAGUUGCAAAGAAAUGUGGAGACUCGCUCUCAUUGCAAAUGCUAUUCUUCAUAUAAGCCAGUUCCUCCUUUUCCACCUUCCAGGAGUCUGCUUCCUUCUCCAGUCCAAUGAACAAAGAAUCACAUUCUCUUGAUAAUUUCGGUUUCAAGUGCAUGUCUCAUGUAUUUGUAUGUAAAUGGGUUUAUAUAUUUAUGAGUAUAGCAGUAUGUUACUAGGAGUCAUUUUAUUGCUAUAUUCCUUUAUCAGAACAGUACUAACAUUUUCCUCCUAGGCCCAUGACACAUCAUGUCUUAGGAUCUUGGGCACUUGAGCAGUGUCAGCAUAUAAAGGCAUGUAUCUGCUGUGGUAUUCGCAUGGAGUCAGGGGACUAGUCUAUGGAGUCAGCGGUCUUCCUCUACCUUUGCAUGAGUUCCAGGGAUUACACUCCAGUUGCCAGGCUUGCAUGAGUUGAAGAACUCCUCGGGAAUAAGAAAAGCACAGAGUACUGAUACCAAGGUAACUUUCAACUUUUCCACAUUCUCCAAAUCUACCUUAAAACUUCACAUUACUCUUUCUAAUUGUACUGUAGUUUCUCUGGUAUUAGCCACCUACUUACCCCAGGUUUAAAUUCAGAACAACAACAAAAAAAGCUUCUGUCAUUCCAAAAUGGAAA